GACGAACGCUGGCGGCGUGCUUAACACAUGCAAGUCGAACGGAAAGGCCCUGCUUUUGUGGGGUGCUCGAGUGGCGAACGGGUGAGUAACACGUGAGUAACCUGCCCUUGACUUUGGGAUAACUUCAGGAAACUGGGGCUAAUACCGGAUAGGAGCUCCUGCUGCAUGGUGGGGGUUGGAAAGUUUCGGCGGUUGGGGAUGGACUCGCGGCUUAUCAGCUUGUUGGUGGGGUAGUGGCUUACCAAGGCUUUGACGGGUAGCCGGCCUGAGAGGGUGACCGGCCACAUUGGGACUGAUAUACGGCCCAGACUCCUACGGGAGGCAGCAGUGGGGAAUAGUGCAAAAGGGGCGGAAGCCUUAUGCAGCAACGCCGCGGGCGGGAUGACGGCCUUCGGGGUGUAAACCGCUUGCGCCUGUGACGAAGCGUGAGUGACGGUAAUGGGUAAAGAAGCACCGGCUAACUACGUG
rnacentral:rRNA from 1 species